GCUGUGAUAGACCGUAGGGGUAGCGGGGCAGACUGUAAAUCUGCUGUUCAUAGAACUCGGGUGGUUCGACUCCAUCUCGCAGCA
rnacentral:tRNA from 1 species